AUUGAACGCUGGCGGCAUGCUUUACACAUGCAAGUCGAACGGCAGCGCGGGGCAACCUGGCGGCGAGUGGCGAACGGGUGAGUAAUAUAUCGGAACGUACCCAGAAGUGGGGGAUAACGUAGCGAAAGUUACGCUAACACCGCAUACGAUCUACGGAUGAAAGUAGGGGACCGCAAGGCCUUAUGCUUUUGGAGCGGCCGAUAUCUGAUUAGCUAGUUGGUGAGGUAAAGGCUCACCAAGGCGACGAUCAGUAGCUGGUCUGAGAGGACGACCAGCCACACUGGAACUGAGACACGGUCCAGACUCCUACGGGAGGCAGCAGUGGGGAAUUUUGGACAAUGGGCGCAAGCCUGAUCCAGCAAUGCCGCGUGAGUGAAGAAGGCCUUCGGGUUGUAAAGCUCUUUUGUCAGGGAAGAAACGGUAGAGGCUAAUAUCCUUUGCUAAUGACGGUACCUGAAGAAUAAGCACCGGCUAACUACGUG
rnacentral:rRNA from 1 species